AUGUUUGUCUAUAUAUUCGUUGAACUAAAAAAAAUCACUUUUUUUCUCUCGUUUUUCACAAAACACACUCAAGAGCUCUCUAUUCUCUCAAGUCUCAAGAAUCACUUUUCUCAAGAAGAAAUUGUCCCUGUCACUUCCUUCGAUCUUCCUCCGAUUUCCCUCAGACCAAGCUCCGAUCAUGCACCAUCAUCGUCCGACCUCCCUCUGCUUGCGCAACCAGCCAGCUCAGUCCCUCCGUCACCGCGCCUCUGCGAACAACCGACUAGCUCCUCCCUCCGUCACCGCGUGACUUCUCUCUUCUUCUUCUCUUUGAUUUUGCACCUUUUUCCUUCUCCUCCUCUUUGCUUCAUUCGGUAA